rnacentral:rRNA from 1 species
UACAGAGGUCUCAAGCGUUGUUCGGAUUCAUUGGGCGUAAAGGGUGCGUAGGCGGCGGGGUAAGUCGGAUGUGAAAUCCCGGGGCUCAACCCCGGAACUGCAUUCGAUACUGCCUUGCUAGAGCACUGGAGAGGAGACUGGAAUUUACGGUGUAGCAGUGAAAUGCGUAGAUAUCGUAAGGAAGACCAGUGGCGAAGGCGAGUCUCUGGACAGUUACUGACGCUGAGGCACGAAGGCCAGGGGAGCAAACGGG